GACGAACGCUGGCGGCGUGCUUAACACAUGCAAGUCGAACGGAAAGGCCCUGCUUUUGUGGGGUGCUCGAGUGGCGAACGGGUGAGUAACACGUGAGUAACCUGCCCUUGACUUUGGGAUAACUUCAGGAAACUGGGGCUAAUACCGGAUAGGAUCUCCUGCUGCAUGGUGGGGGUUGGAAAGUUUCGGCGGUUGGGGAUGGACUCGCGGCUUAUCAGCUUGUUGGUGGGGUAGUGGCUUACCAAGGCUUUGACGGGUAGCCGGCCUGAGAGGGUGACCGGCGACAUUGGGACUGAGAUACGGAGCAGACUGCAACGGGAGGCAGCAGUGGGGAAUAUUGCACAAUGGGCGGAAGCCUGAUGCAGAAAAGCCGCGUGCGGGAUGACGGGCUUCGGGUUGUAAACAGAUUUGGACUGAGACGAAGCGUGAGUGACGGUAAUGGGUAAAGAAGCACCGGCUAACUACGUG
rnacentral:rRNA from 1 species